AAUGGGAGUGCGUCUCAUUUGAAUAGAAAGGCUUUACCUCUCUUGUUGGACGGGACUAAAAAGUCUUUUUCAAAAGAAAAGUCUUCCGACUGAACAAAGGGAGCAGGCUGGAUACUAAAAGAAUUCGAUACAGCGGGGGGGUUCCCCUAUUUGAUAAUACUUUUUUCAAAUGCUGACAUGACAGGGGAAAGAGGCGAAGUGGCUUUUGAUAAUUAGCGCUUUUUAUUCUGUGCUAGCGACCCUGUUUCUAAAGAACCUCGUAAGUCUCGAGGGUCUUUUAUUCAUCAUGGUUCCACUUUUUUUUUUCUUUCUUUUGUGUCUUCCAUCGGACGUUCUUCCUUUUGCCAUCCUUCUCUUCUAUUC
rnacentral:lncRNA from 1 species